ACACCACUCACACAGGAGUCGUUUUCUAAGUGAAGAAAGUUGACUUGCUGCUUUUACUGUUAGUAAAAAUAGGACAGCAUUUUCACUUUGAACAUUUUCAGCCAGUUUGAACUGAUUUGCUACUCUGAGAUGUUUUAUAAAUGCAGUUUUUUUUUUACUUUACAGGAUUUCACAGGCCAUCUAACAGCUUAUAUUCCUCAUUACUGUAUAAAAUCUGACUAUUAUGUAAAUGGUAUAUUCCUCGUAGUCAAAUCCCUGUAAUAAACCCAAACAUCCCCUGCUAGUGGCAACUUCCGCACAGAGAUGAGGGGGAGUAGAGUAGAUGCAGAGAGAGAGGUGUGUUUCAGCACCACGAAGGUCACUCCAGAUUGAGAAGUUUGUCAAAAUGUGAUGACAUCAGCAGUCUGUAAACUGUUAUUGGCCCUAGCUGAGCGUCGGCCACAUCCAAACCAUCAGAAAUUACAAAACACACACACACACACCCAAACUGACUGCCACCGCUCUGCCAGAAAUGAUUGCCUCCGAGGUUUCUUUUUCUUUUUUUUUCUCCCAUCUCCCCUUGUUCACCCAUGCCUUUCCUCCUCCUCCUCCUCCUCCUUCCCUCCUCCCCACCAACACAACUCAUAUCCCCAUCCCCCACUGUCUUUCUACCUAAGCACACACACACGCUUGUACUGUAGAGCUGCCAGAUAUGUGUAAGCUUCUAGGAAAGAAGGAAAGGAAGAGGCAGAGGAGGAGGAAGAGGAGGAGGAGGGGGGGAGAAGCUAGAUAGAAUUUAAUGACAUUAAACAUGUUUUUUAUGCUCAAUAAGAGGCCUAUAUUAUGAUUGAUCCAAGACAGUCAACACUUUAUUCAGACACAAAUGGAAUCGUCUGUCACUGAGUCUAUUGAGUCAUCAAUAUCCGCUGUAGUUAUUUCUCUUUUUUCCCCCUCCCGGAUCGUUUAAAGUGAGUAAUCAUCUGUCUGGUCGCUUGCGUCUCAGGGGUUUGAUCGGAUAGCGCUUUUGAACACCGGCGGAAACCUGCCUGACAAUCCAACAAGCCACUCACUGAAGAUUGAGAGGGCCCCAUUAUGUCGGCUGCCUGUGGCCAUAUCAGAAGGCUUUUCUUCUCCUCCUCUCGCCUCUACAUAACACACAGCGGUAAAUAAAUCACAGCUCCGACUCUGUUUAUCGAUCGGCCCCGCUCCAAGCUCCCUUUUUUUUUUUUUUUCUCCCCCCGCGUCUGCUCGUUCUUCUCUGCAGGAUGAAUUGUUGCUUUGUGUAUUGAGGAGGGCGAGAUUGUCAAAACAGAGAGGUGCUGGGUCAAAACAAAAAGGAGUCUGAGUGAAACAGGAAUAAACUCCGACUGCUUGACCCACUGUGAUGCUGUAUAGUUAGCCUCGAUUAGGCUCCAUAUUAAUUGAAAUCAUUUCAAUUAGUAGCAGCAUUUGCUUUUGCUUUCCUGGAGGGGCGGCCUGUGUCCUGCUGGGACUACUCUAUUGGUGCCAUUGUUUCAGGCAAGAUCAAUUAGUUACAGAAAAGUAAUUGAACCCAUUCGGAAUACUUAUUUAAUCAAGACAUGCAUACAGCUCAAUUAAGUAAAGCCAGGAAAUUCAAAAUGAUUUGCUGGUUCAAAGAAUAUUCAUCUCAAAAAUUAACAAAAAUAUCAGUUGUUAAAGAUUAGAACUAGUUGUGAUGCUUUUAAAACUAAGUCAUUUAGAUUUAUGGAGACUGAAUCCUCCUGCUUGAUUAUUUGAUAAUAUAAAAUCAUAUAUAUAUAUAAUCAUAUAAUUCAUAUAAUCUUUUAUUCUUAGUCAUGCUUAGGGUUGCAUUACGAUGGUCGGAUCCGUUUCCAGUUUUAUGAAACACAUGAAUACAUUAACCAGUGGGGCUAAUGAAGCUCUUAUUGAAUAUUUUAUCUGUCUUCACUCUUUUUUUAUAAAUCAAGAGGAAAGUAGAAAACAUUUCGAUAGAAAGUUUCUUACAGUCUCUAACAGUUGACUGUUGCUUUCAAACUUCGCCAGCAGCAGACUCAUAUCAGCUGUUAAUGCUAAUGAAUGCUAAUUCCUUAAACCUGCACUCACAUAUUUUUUGGCCACUUAAGGGCACUACCAAAAAGUUGACACAAUAUCACCAAAUUAUCCAUAUAAAGUUGAUAUGGUUAACUAACAAUGGCUUAUUUAGAGUUUGUGUUCACCUGAUGAAUGAAAGUCCAAUAUUCAUUCUCCUUUUAGCUCUGUUUUACUCUCCACCAACUAUCAAACUAAGCAACUAAAUAUCUAAAUAACUGUUUCUCCAGCUGCUAAAUGCUCCACUUUAUCCCCCAGCUAGUUGUUACCUUUAUCUCUCUGUCAUUUGGUGCUGGUCAGGUAGUGUGUGAGUUUAUCUGACAUUUUUUACUUUAAUUUAAUUUACUACUUUAAAACAGCUAUCUGCUGCGUCUGGUAACGCAGAUGAGAGCGUGGAGACUGAACCAAAACAGUAAAGUUGUGGGCCAUAGAACCACAACAAUGCACUGAAAGAAAGCGUUAAGUUCUGUAUCUUUCCUAAACGCCAAGAUGUAACAAAGAUUGGAAAAAAAGCGAAGUAGCACCACUCUUGAACACCACUCUACAACAGCAAGCGGAUGGUGUAUUUUUGCAGUCCAACAAGACCCACAGAGAGGUUAUCCCAGCAGCCAAGUGAAUCUGCACAAAUGAAUUAAGGGAGAAUUAAGGAGACUGUGCAAAGUGAAGCCUUUCCAAAUCUCAGCACAGAUGAAAGUCCUCGGCCAAGGCAACACAAUGGCGCUUAACGCAGCGCACCACCCUCCCAGCAUAUUAUAUCAACUGGGGAAAAAAGUUGUUCCAAGGGAGGACAAAGAAGUGCAUAUUACAUUUUACAGAAACAUGUACAGUGGAAAAAUACAAUCCUGUCCGCUCCCUGCAUCAGAGCUUUUGCAUGUCACACACACCACCUCCCUUGCUGUAUAAUAGUUACAACACUGGAAUACAUGUGACGCCCAGUUGUCAAGAGACCCAGCCUAAGCAGCCACCUCUCUCACAUCUUUACCCUGCUCAGUAGGAAUCAAAGGCAGCGAGAACAGAGACAGGGAUGAGGGAGGAAAAGGCCUCCGCUGUGGCUUUUAAAGCUCUACUAUUUGGAAUUUGAAGAACUGUAUGUGAGAAGUACCUUUUUCUCUUGCUUUUACUUUUGCGCUCUUGCCUGUCUUGAGACGCUGUAGUUUCUUUCUUAUUAUUCAAAACACAGGUUACACGCUCCUUUGUUUUGAUUUAGUAUAAUUUGUACUGAUCCUGUGAUAUUUCUCUAGUCAUUAUCAUCUCAUCUCCUAAUCAUACAAUUGUCUCUGGAAGGUCUGGAAAAGCUGUUUCAUUGAUUCCGCUGGAAUGUGGAUUGAUCCGCUUGAAUUUGCAUGGGAAUCCAUUCUGUUCGAGCCGAGAGAUCAUAAUCGAUCAGAUGGGAUAAAGCCUGUAUCUGGCCUGCUUGCCUUUCAAAGGUUAAGCAUGAUCUGUUGGCCUGAUGACUGUGCUUACAGAAUCCUAAUGAAGGGCAGAGAGCUGUUGAUGGCUUACAGAAAGCUAUCCUGCCCUGAAUUGAUGUCUUAUGUUGUUGUUUUGUUACUUUUUCUCGAAGAUAACAAUGUUUUAAUUUCACCUUGACAAUGAUUGCUGCACCAAAGCUCCAUAUUUAAGUGAGAGAAGAAAAAUGUUCUUUCUGACGCAGACAUUUUGAAUGUAGAUGUAUUUCAGUGGAAAAAUUCCCCAAAUAAAUCAAGGCUUAAAGGUGA